UACGUAGGUGGCAAGCGUUGUUCGGAAUUACUGGGCGUAAAGCGUGCGCAGGCGGUUGUGUAAGUCUGACGUGAAAUCCCCGGGCUUAACCUGGGAAUGGCAUUUGGGACUGCAAGGCUGGAGUGUGGCAGAGGAGACUGGAAUUCCUGGUGUAGCAGUGAAAUGCGUAGAGAUGGUGGAGGAAUACCGAUGGCGAAGGCAGCCCCCUGGGAUAACGACU
rnacentral:rRNA from 1 species